rnacentral:rRNA from 1 species
UACAGAGGGUGCAAGCGUUAAUCGGACUUAUUGGGCGUAAAGGGCGCGUAGGCGGUUAGAUAAGUGGGAUGUGAAAUACCUGGGCUCAACCUGGGCUGUGCAUUCCAGACUGUCUGGCUAGAAUCUAGCAGAGGGAAGUGGAAUUUCCGGUGUAGCGGUGAAAUGCGUUAGAUAUCGGAAAGAACAUCAAUGGCGAAGGCAGCUUUCUGGGCUAAGAUUGACGCUGAGGCGCGAAAAGCGUGGGGUAGC